CAGCAGUCGCCACGGGAAUACGGAGGGUGCAAGCGUUAUCCGGAUUUAUUGGGUUUAAAGGGUCCGUAGGCGGAUCUGUAAGUCAGUGGUGAAAUCUCACAGCUUAACUGUGAAACUGCCAUUGAUACUGCAGGUCUUGAGUAAAUUUGAAGUGGCUGGAAUAAGUAGUGUAGCGGUGAAAUGCAUAGAUAUUACUUAGAACACCAAUUGCGAAGGCAGGUCACUAAGAUUUAACUGACGCUGAUGGACGAAAGCGUGGGGAGCGAACAGGAUUAGAUACCCCCGUAGUCCCUGUCUCUUAUAC
rnacentral:rRNA from 1 species